rnacentral:rRNA from 1 species
AUUGAACGCUGGCGGCAUGCUUUACACAUGCAAGUCGAACGGUAACAGGGACUUCGGUCUGCUGACGAGUGGCGAACGGGUGAGUAACAUAUCGGAACGUGCCCAGUAAUGGGGGAUAGCUCGGCGAAAGCCGGAUUAAUACCGCAUACGCCCUGAGGGGGAAAGUGGGGGAUCUUCGGACCUCACGUUAUUGGAGCGGCCGAUAUCGGAUUAGCUAGUUGGUGGGGUAAAGGCCUACCAAGGCGACGAUCCGUAGCUGGUCUGAGAGGAUGAUCAGCCACACUGGGACUGAGACACGGCCCAGACUCCUACGGGAGGCAGCAGUGGGGAAUAUUGGACAAUGGGCGAAAGCCUGAUCCAGCAAUGCCGCGUGUGUGAAGAAGGCCUGAGGGUUGUAAAGCACUUUCAAUCGUGAAGAAAAGUUGCAGGCUAAUACCCUGUGACCUUGACGUUAACGAUACAAGAAGCACCGGCUAACUCCGUGCCAGCAGCCGCGG